rnacentral:lncRNA from 1 species
CUAUCUUAUUUUUUUUUUCAGAGCAAAAAGACCAGAUACCAAAGAAGACAAAGUAAGCAGCCCAGGUGACCCAGCCUCACAGACGGCCUCAGUUGCUGUAGCCCAGGUGACCCAGCCUCACAGAUGGCCUCAGUUGCUGUAGCCCAGGUGACCCGGCCUCACAGGCGGCCUCAGUUGCUGUAGCCCAGAUGACCCAGCCUCACAGAUGGCCUCAGUUGCUGUAGCCCAGGUGACCCGGCCUCAGUUGCUGCAGCCCAGGUGACCCAGCCUCACAGAUGGCCUCAGUUGCUGCAGCCCAGACACAUCUGCUCCUGGCAAUACCCCUGAUCUACUGCAAAGAAG